CCUGACCCAGUAAAAGUUUCAAGCGCUCCAUCUCCAGUCGUGGCUGUGGUUUCACUGCUGUUCAAAGGCUCUGUUUUGACUGCAAGAAGAGACACUAUGUAGAAGAAUAAGUACAUACUCCCCACCCCAUGCCUACCUAGUCCCUCCAAAAAACAGGGCUGAGCAGGGAUCAGAAGUGCCCUGAAGAAGACUCUUCUCUUCUCUGGGAUGGGAACAGUCCGACAGUGGGCACGGUGUGGAGGGAGAGGCCGCAGUAUCAAGUGAACACCCAAGAAAGGUAUCAAAGCCCUUACAGGGCCACCCCCAAGAGAAGCAGCAAUUCCAAGGGCCUUCUGGCUGGAGGACCAACAACAUGUGGGCAAUCACAUGCUUUAACUGUUGCAAGGUGUGAAGCUGAUUGAUGCACUGGUUCAUGAGUUUAUGACUCAAGGCUGAAGGAGGCAAAACCCAGCAAUGCCAAGGGUGAAUCAACAGCUGGGGGUAAUCAGUUAACUGGCCCACUGGGGAACCAGAACCCUGUUUGAAGUGGACUGCAGGGAGCCCACAGGAGGGGAGGAAAGCCAGGUCAAUAGGAGGGACUAUGCGGCUGCUUGAGAGAGUAGGGAGCCUUCAAGAAGGAAGAUCUUGGACUAUGAGUUACCCAUGGGCAUGCCCAUAUUUAUUCCAAUGCGUAUGAUGUGCUGCUUGCAUUGAAUGCCUCUCAGAUGCAGCCAGAUGCCAUGUCUCCCAGGAAGCCUGGACAUCAUUCUCUCUCUCCUGUGGCCAACUACCAACCAUUGCCUUAUGGACAGAACCUGGCCUAUGUGAAGUGCUAAAAAAAUGCAAGUUAAAUUAAUGAAUGGAAACAUUUACUGAACUUUGAACGUCUACAUUAUAUACACAAGGAGAGUGACUGCCAAAAUAUUGCUGAUGUGUUCACUCGUUCACAUAUCCACUGACUUCCAUGUGCCAGGAGAUGGCGAGGAUCCUUGGAACACAGAUGAAAAGCAUGGUUCCUACCAGCUCAAAGUUCAGUUAGGGUAGCAGGGAGCUGGAUAAUAUUCUAUCACAGUGCGUUAAGGCCAUGCCAGUGGUGAGCACAGGGAACUAAGACAGUGGAUAGGAAAGUCACCUCAAACUCAGAGCACUAGGAAAUGAUUUUCACGAAGAAGGUUCCUAAGUGAGAAUGGAAAACUAAAGAGUUAUCCACAAGAAGACCCCAGGGAGUGUGUCCUGCUGUAAGAAGAGCACAUUUAAAGGCAGCUAAGAAUGAGUGAGAAGGUCCUGUCAGGGGAGAGCUUUAAAAUAGAAUGUAAUAGUAGAUGUUGAAUCAAGUGAACAGGAAUUAGGGUUUCCCAUUUCCCUCUCUUCACAGGAAGAGCCAUGGGGACUAGCAAAUAUAAGCAAACCACUUUGAGGCGGCUGAAGAAGCAGGACCAUGUGGAAACCAGAAAUACAUUCCAAACCAAAUGGAAAUGCUUUCUAUUACUUAUAGACUGAGCUGAUAACUAAAUGCAUAGAAUAUUAGUCUCAAAUAUUUUAUAUUAGUAAAGAUCUUCCAUAUUCAAGCCAACAACUGGAAUUGUUUCUUAUUACUCAGAAGACAGGAGCUAGAAAUAGAGAAGAUUUUUAUCUUAUUUAGUAUGACUGUAUGAAUUUUCUACAUAAAGGAUCUGUAAUAUAUUACAUUUGUAAUAUAAAAAAAAAUCAGCUCUGAAUGUUUUAAGAAAAAUACUUAGCCAGGAAGCACUACUUGUCAAAUCCAUUACGAGUUUGUAUAAACAUACCUCAGAGAUACUACAGCUUUGGUUCCAGACCACAACAAUAAAAUGACUUUCACAAUCAAGAGAGUUAAUUGAAAAUGUUUGGUUUUCCAGUGCAUAUGAAAAUUUUAUUUCUACUAUAGUCUCUAUAGUGUGCAAUGAGAUUAUGUCUACAAAAAACAAGGCACGUAC